rnacentral:rRNA from 1 species
AGCGAACGCUGGCGGCAGGCCUAACACAUGCAAGUCGAACGAAGUCUUCGGACUUAGUGGCGGACGGGUGAGUAACACGUGGGAACGUGCCUUUAGGUUCGGAAUAACUCAGGGAAACUUGUGCUAAUACCGAAUGUGCCCUUCGGGGGAAAGAUUUAUCGCCUUUAGAGCGGCCCGCGUCUGAUUAGCUAGUUGGUGAGGUAAAGGCUAACCAAGGCGACGAUCAAUUGCUGGUCUGAGAGGAUGAUCAGCCACAUUGGGACUGAGACACGGCCCAAACUCCUACGGGAGGCAGCAGUGGGGAAUCUUGCGCAAUGGGCGAAAGCCUGACGCAGCCAUGCCGCGUGAAUGAUGAAGGUCUUAGGAUUGUAAAAUUCUUUCACCGGGGACGAUAAUGACGGUACCCGGAGAAGAAGCCCCGGCUAACUUCGUGCCAGCAGCCGCGGUAAAAC